UGCAUCGGUGGUGACUACUGCUGACUUCUGAAUUAUAAAUGAUGAAUACUUUCCCUGAAAGUCUGAGGUCUUU
rnacentral:snoRNA from 1 species